UAUUAAAAUUAUUAUUGAAUUUUUAAUUUAUUAAAUUGUUGAAUAUGAUAUUAUUACAGCUCCAUUAAGCAGAAAUAAGCCCCAAAGCAUCAUCUUUUAUUAGUUACUCUUUCAGAGAAAGCAUCUAUUACAAUUAUUAUUUUUUUAUAUGCAUGUAAAAUAUCCAAAAACUUUCUCCAUGACAGGUUGCAAAUCACUUGAAGGUGAGAAAGGCCAAUAAACCAAUCCAAGCCCUCUUCAACAGAUAUCUCUUGUGAUACAUGUCACUGGAAUAUUGCUUAAUUUUUAUAUUGCACUCAGUGAUGGUUGCUUUUUCCAGAAAAAUGACUUUGUACACUUUACCAUCAACCUGCAUCAAA